rnacentral:rRNA from 1 species
AGAGUGAACGCUGGCGGCAUGCCUAACACAUGCAAGUCGAACGGUAACAGGCCCGCAAGGGUGCUGACGAGUGGCGCACGGGUGAGUAACACGUGACUAAUCUACCCUCGAGUGGGGAAUAACUGAGAGAAAUCUUAGCUAAUACCGCAUAACACUUACGAGUCAAAGCAGCAAUGCGCUUGGGGAGGAGGUCGCGGCCGAUUAGCUAGUUGGCGGGGUAAUGGCCCACCAAGGCGAUGAUCGGUA